AGCUAUCCACUCUUCUAUGACCUUGAGUUUAAUGACAACUGCUUCUCUAACUCUUCCAACAGACAAACACCUUUUCAAGACAUUGGCAACUCCAAAGAGCCAGCAAAAUGUGGUGUAGUCUGUUGUCAUGAGGCUGGGUGGCAACCAUGAGUUACAGUCUCCAUGAGGGUAAACAACUCACUCCUCAGCACACUGUGUUGCCAAGUUACAACAUUGGAUAUUUUCAGUGCAUUACAACUUACGAUAUUUUCAACUUGAGGUGAAUUUGUUGGGAGGUAACUCCAACAUAAGUGGAGGGAUAUUCACAUUCUUAAGGCAGGUGAGAGAUGUUAAGAUUGUGGAUCUUUAAAGCCCUCAUUUCAGUCUGCUCUUUUGGGAACCAGAGAAUAAUAAAGAGCCAAUUGACAA